rnacentral:tRNA from 2 species
GCUAAAGUAGCUUAAUUGGUAAAGCAACUGAUUUGUAAUCAGUAGAUUAUGAGUCCAAAUCUCAUCAUUAGCU